rnacentral:rRNA from 1 species
UACGUAGGUGGCUAGCGUUGUCCGGAUUUACUGGGCGUAAAGAGCGCGCAGGCGGUCGUUCAAGUCGAGUGUGAAAGCCCCCGGCUCAACUGGGGAGGGUCACUCGAUACUGAUCGACUUGAAGGCGGGAGAGGGAAGCGGAAUUCCCGGUGUAGCGGUGAAAUUCGUAGAUAUUAGGAAGAACACCAGUGGCGAAGGCGGCUCACUGGCCCGGUACUGACGCUGAGGCGCGAAAGCGUGGGGAGCAAACAGG